AUUUAACUCAUAAGACUGAUUAUUUACAAUCUUAAAAGGUAACAAUUUCGAAACGAGGUUAUAAAAUAGCAGAGCUUGGUGUGAUGAUUUACAAUUUUAAACGAUAACAAUUUCGAAAUGCUCGAGGUCAUAAAAUAGAAGAGCUCUUAGAUACUUCAGUGUAAUAAUAUGCUAGAAGAAACAUGGACGAUAUAACGGAGCAGGAUAUCUUUAAGGCUUUCAAGAAAACUCAAGAAGAGUUUCGUUUUCCAGGAGGUAAACUAGAACUUCUAACUGAAGAACGUUUUCCAGAAAUAUUUGAUGUCAUUAAAAAGUGUUUCCUGACCGACGAACCGCUUGAAAAGUCAUUAAAACUGGAAUGGAGUUCGGAAGUGGAAGAGAUGUGGAUGUCUGCACUUACGUCCAAACUUUCCUUAAUGAUAGUUGAUGAGAAUACCAAGAAGAUCAUAGGCAUGCGAGCGAUACGUGUCACCAAGAAAUCAGAUCAUACGGACGUUAGUCUAAUAAAAGAUGAGUCAGUUAAGAAGUUGUUGGAAUUUUUCGAAUUCACUUCAGAACAUUCGAAUGUAUUUGAAAAAUAUGGCAUUACCGAAUACUUUGAAUUUUUCGGCCUUGCUGUUUUACCAGAGUAUAGACAACGAGGAAUAGGGACUGUUCUGAUGCAAGCCGGAGUAAAUUUCCUAGGUCAUCUUAAAAGACCUUCAUACCUCAAAGGAACGUGUUCGUCCAACUUCUCUAAGAAAAUAUACGAUAAGUUUGAUUUUGAGGCAGUAGGAGAUUAUGCAUUUGAAGAUUAUAAAGUUGAUGGCAAAGUUGUUUUUGAUAACACUGGUGAACAUAAGUCCAUGAAAUUGUAUGUUAUGUUUCUACAAUAGAAAUCAAAUGUCAUCAAUUUUACGCCAUGUCUUUGAUGUUACGUCAUAUUUUGAUUUUGUUAUACACAUGUAUAAAACAAAAUGUAAAAUAAAAGAGUUUGUGUUUCUAAAUGAUCUGUGUCGUCUGCAUUAUAGUAAUGUCAUGGUUGUAUAGUUAUGGGUGAAAUAGUUUGCCUUAAUUUACUUUUCAUCAUUGUAUCUAAUUACGUCCUACAAAAUAGUGUUGAUCUACCUGUAAAUAACUUAAAUGGGUCAUAGUAUCUUGAGGUAAUCAGGCCGAAUUCUGUUAAAUAUGUUUACACGAUCAUGUAUAACUUGAAACACGACAUACAUGUACAUGUAAAUAGUUAUCAUUGUUCCUUAACUUUAUCUUAUUUUAUCCAAUUAUAUGUUCAUAUUUGUUAUUAUUUUAUUCCCAAAGAGGAUGGUAUUAUGUCUUGCCCAUGGGGUUCUGCUGUUCGUCCGUAUGAUGAGAGCACAUUGAGUUGUGUUUAGGUAUUCAUUCUGUAAUCAAUAUUGUCUAUCUGAAUACCCUUAAUGGAAUUUUUCAUAAAAUAAAUAAGGCCUUUGAUACAGUCUGGCAUGAAGGAAUGUUAUAUAAACUUUUAACAGAAACCUGUAUUGAUUCAACUACAUUUUUAGCGCUCAAAUCUAUGUAUACCAACAUGCUGAGUUGUGUAAAAUAUCAGGGUAAAUUCUCAGAAUGGUUCAGAGUACUACAAGGCACAAGACAAGGGGGUAAAACCUCCCCGAUGUUGUAUCUUCUAUACAUAAAUGGGCUUAUAGAUGAGCUAGAGAAAAGUGUAUUUGGUAUCUGUGUUUGUAAUGUUAGAGUUAGCUCCCCUACCGUAGCAAACGAUAUGCUCUUAGUGUCUUAUUCUGUAAAUGGACUAAAUGGUAUGCUUGAUAUAUGUAGUGAAUACUCAAAGCGGUGGCGCUAAAGUUAUAAUGCAGAAAAAUGCGCUGUAUUGGUUUUUAAUGAACGUACAAAUAAUGGUCGUGACAGAGACUUCUAUCUUGGUAAUACAAAAAUCUGUGAAACAUCGAACUAUGUACAUCUUGGUAUCAACUGUGAUCCGUUUCUGACAACAAGAUAAAUGGUUGAGGACGCAUGUACUAAACUUAGAGGUACCUACCUCAGUAUAAUUAAUAGUAGAAUCAGUCCACAGUGUUUAAAUAGAAAAUAUACGAUGCAACAAUUAUCCCAAAAGCGCUAUACGGUAGCGAGUUGUGGUCUUCUAUCACUUCUACUGAUAUUAUGCAACUCGAAAGGUCUCAUAGAUUUUGUAUUAAAAACAUGCAGUCAUUUCCAAAUGGUACAUCAACUGAAUUUGCAUUGAGUGCAUUAGACGCCGUUCCUAUUGACAUUAUCGUUGAACAUAGAAAAUUGCAAUUCCUUGGACAAUGUAGACUUUCUGAUGUAUAUCUUGCUAAACAUAUUUUCAACAGUCGCCUUGUUUGUUACCUUAAUUAUGAUAAGCAGUCUUCUGGUUUUAUUCCUACUAUAUGUGCAAUUCUACAAAAGUACGGAUUAUAUGAUGUUAUUAAUACAUACAUAAGGGAAGGUACAUUUCCGUCCAAAAUAGCUUGGAAGUGGAUUCUUAAUCAACAAGUUUUAAGCCAAGGAAGGGUCAAUGUGAGUUUGAAUGCAAUGCCCUUGAUGUCGUUAUUACAACAGGGGGCGCAACCUUGUAUUAUAUGGACUCUAUCGAAAAGAAAACCACGAUUAUCGCGCCUAUGUUUCAAACUGAUGAAUAUUUUAGCGCGGUACUUGUCCAGAAAAUACAUUUGUAGAUGCUUUAAGUGUGAUCGGUUGACUGAAGACAUUGUACAACAUUUGAUUUGUUAUUGUGAGGUUAAUUCACAUAUACGUGAACGUUUGUGGAAUUUGAUGAUAGAAAUUAAUGGUCACUGUGAUUACAUGUCAUUCGUUUUGUUAACACCGUCUGAACAGUGUGAUUAUUUGCUAAGGUUAGCUGUUACAAUUGAUGGGGACAUGUUUAAACAUAUACAUUAUACUAUAUGUGUUUGCAAAAUGUUCGAUUAGUGUGAUAUAGAACAAACUCACUUUAUAUCAGAUACUUUGAAAUAUUCAAAUUACAUAUGUAAUGUAGCUAUGUAUUUUCGUCAUGGUUUCUAUUUAUAGCUUUAUAACUUAAUUAUACUUAAAUAUGCGUGAACAAAUUCCAUUGUAAAUUGACUAGCCUCUCGUUUUCGUAUCUAGUUAAUUUUGAACCAGUGGACAUUGUUUUUGUCAGUUGUUUAUACUUAAUAAUUGUUACUAUGAAUAACGCUUUUGUCUGACAUUUUCGAUCUUCAUUUCUUCAUUAAGACAACUGUGAGAUUCUUAAGGACGCAUAUACUAUUUUUGAUUCUGAUUGAUUUGUACAUAUAUCUCUAUUUACUGUCUGUAAAAUAUUAUUAAUUUGUUACAUGUAUUAUGCUCUUCAAUAUUGGAGGAAUAAAAGAUAUUAUUAUUAUUAUCUUACCGUGUUAACGGAGAUAUGUACUUAUAAUUGGUUUAAUUGUUUAAAAUUAUCUUUCCGUGAUAACUGAGAUAUGUACUUAUAAUUGGUUUUAUUGUUAACAAAUAUUUUAUCGUGAUAACGGAGAUAUGUACUUAUAAUUGGUUUAAUUGUUUACAAGUAUUUUAUCGUGAUAACGGAGAUAUGUACUUAUAAUGGGAAAAGGGAAUAUGCAUAAAUUUAAAGACACGACAAAUAAGAGUAUAAAAUAUGACACAUUUAAUAAAAGUAUUGUUCUUUUUUUGCAUGAUUUCGCCGUUCUUUCACCUAAAGAAUGCAAUAAUGCGAAGGCACAAAAAUAUCACAAAACCAAACUUUGAAGUAGUUUUGUGUUUUCGCAUUUUCGUUGCGAUUAUGUGUCUUGGCGUAAAUCAUCCACCAUAAUUGAUUGACAUAAAUUUGAUAUAAUCAUGUUUCAGCACUUGAUUGUAGGCACAAGUACAGCGUAUAUAUUUGAAAUAGCGUUCGACUGGCUAUUCAGCUCAAAACUCUGAUUAUUUACAAUCUUAAAAGAUAACAAUUUCGAAACUAGGUUAUAAAAUAGAAGAGCGUGGUGUGAUGAUUUACAAUUUAAACGAUACAAUUUCGAAAUGUUCGAGGUCAUAAAAUAGAUGAGCUCUUAGAUACUUCAGUGUAAUAAUAUGCUAGAAGAAAUAUGGACGAUAUAACGGAGCAGGAUAUCUUUAAGGCUUUCAAGAAAACUCAAGGAGAGCUAAGUUUCCCGGGCGGUAAAUUAGAACUUCCAACUGAAGAACGUUUUCCAGAAAUAUUUGAUGUCAUUAAAAAGUGUUUCCUGACCGACGAACCGCUUGAAAAAUCAUUACAGCUUGAGUGGAGUUCGGAGGUGGAAGAGAUUUGGAUGUCUGCACUGAGGUCCAAACUUUCCUUAAUAAUAGUUGAUGAGAACACCAAGAAGAUCAUAGGCAUGCGAGCGAUACGUGUCACCAAAAAAUCAGAUCAUACGGACGUUAGUCUAAUUAAAGAUGAGUCAGUUAAGAAGUUGUUGGAAUUUUUCGAAUACACUUCAGAACAUCCAAAUGUAUUUGAAAAAUAUGGCAUUACAGAACACUUUGAAUUUUUCGGCCUUGCUGUUUUACCAGAGUAUAGACAACGAGGAAUGGGAACAGUUCUGAUGCAAGCCGGAGUAAGUUUCCUAGGUCAUCUUAAAAGACCUUCAUACAUCAAAGGAUCGGCUUCGUCCAACUUCUCUAAGAAAAUAUACGAUAAGUUUGAUUUUGAGGCAAUAGGAGAUUAUGUAUUUGAAGAUUAUAAAGUUGACGGCAAAGUUGUUUUUGAUAACACUGGUGAACAUAAGUCCAUGAAAUUGUAUGUUAUGUUUCUACAAUAGAAAUCAAACGUCAUCAAUUUUACGUCAUGCCAUCAAUGUUACGUCAUAUUUUGAUUUUUUUUUAUUGAAAACAAAAUGUAAAAUAAAAGAGUUUGUGUUUAUUAA